rnacentral:lncRNA from 1 species
UGACCGUGAAGAGCCAAGAAAGAUGACAUGAUGAAGCCAUCAGGGGAAGCACCAAACAUCCUCAACUCUGCUCACCCAUGGUUUUCUCCCGCCCUCCCAGAGCUCCUCCUGAAUAUCAGAUAGAUGGGAGAGAAGGAUGGCAGUGAAGCGGUAAUGAGAAGUGGGACCAGGAAUCCAGGUGUCAGGGAAGGAAGACAUGAAGCAGGCAACAAGAGAAGAUCUAGAAAGAAGGAGGAGACUCUGAGCGCCAUUGUAAAGGAAGAUGUAGCCAGUUUUGGUAACAGGUUGUGUGUUAUUCUGCUUGAGCUGUGAUUAUGGUUUGGCUGUGUCCCCACCCAAAUCUCAUCUUGAAUUCCCAGUGUGGGAGGGACCUGGUUGGGGGUGACUGAAUUGUGGGGGCAGGUCUUUCCCAUGCUGUUCUUGUGAUAGUGAAUAAUUCUCAUGAGAUCUGAUGGUUUUAAAAAGGGGAGUUUCCUUGAACAAGCCCUCUUUCCUUUUCUGCCACCAUGUGAGACGUGCUUUUCACCUGCCAUGAUUGUGAGGCCUUCCCAGCCACGUGGAACUGU